GGUUUCGUGGUCGAGUGGUAAGGACACUUACCUCUCAUCCAAGAGUCCCGGAUUCGAUCCCCGGUCAAGAAGCUU